CACGUAGGGCGCAAGCGUUGUCCGGAAUUAUUGGGCGUAAAGAGCUCGUAGGCGGUCUGUUGCGUCCGCUGUGAAAACUCGGGGCUUAACCCCGAGCCUGCAGUCGAUACGGGCAGGCUAGAGUUCGGUAGGGGAGACUGGAAUUCCUGGUGUAGCGGUGAAAUGCGCAGAUAUCAGGAGGAACACCGGUGGCGAAGGCGGGUCUCUGGGCCGAUACUGACGCUGAGGAGCGAAAGCGUGGGGAGCGAACAGG
rnacentral:rRNA from 1 species